AACUUUUGUUUUUGUUGAUUUUCUGUUAUCAGAAUAUCACUGGUCUUUAGACUGAAAAGUAUUGUUUUCAACGGUAAGCAAAGUGCUGAAUCUGCACGCUCUGCUGAGGAAGAGUGUGAAAAGAAGGCAGUCCAGCAUAAAGCAUGGCUAUCUUCCUAGCAGGAGAACUGGGACUGCACUUUCUGGGGAUGGUCCCCAUGCACCGAGCCUGCUUUGUAGCCAGGAGCACUGGCACAUCAUCCAGUAUCUCCCACAUGUGUGAUGGCCCUGUGCAGGGUCAGCAUGGCUGUCACAGCACCUCUCUGAAAAAUCAGAGCCCUGGGCCAGCCAGGUAAGGCAACUGUGCUUCUGCAUGCUGAGCAGGGGAAGGCCAUAAGCACAACUUGGCGAUGGUGCUGUCCCUGUGUGCAUAAUGGACACAUGCAACUGGCACAUGGGGCUGUGAUGUAUCUCUGCAUAGGUUUUGGAAAGCUGAGCACCAGCAGGAAUGUGGAGGCUGGUUCUUCCUGAUGCUCUCUACUGGAUAACGUUAGCUGGCAAUGGAGUGAUCCUUCAGAGGAAGACAGGUUCCUCAAAGCCUCACAAAAUGGUAUGGCUGCAUGGCUGCCAGCUCCACCAGUGAAACCGAAUGCUGGUUCCAUCCUGCCUCUGGGGCUCUGCUGAGGUUGUCCGUCAGCACCUCGACUCUUCUGAAUCCAGCGGAGAGCACUGACUGCAGUGCAGCGUGGGAAAGCCCCACAGCUUGGAGAUGUCUGUGAGCUUGUUGAAAAGUCUGACAGUGGCCGUUCACUGGAAUAUAUUCAAAGCAACGGGGAUGUCUAAAGCUUUAACUCCUAAUCGGAUGGGGAAAAAAUUGGUUUGGCACAAAAUUUACUUGUUACAUGAACUGUUAGGUUUUAACAGUCUCUAGAGUUUAAGUCUCAAGUCAGAAAUUUAUUUUCUCUGUUUUCUCACUGAAUUGUUUAAUGUUGGUUGGUAAUAUGAACAAAAUUCGUUUGUUUUUUUUUUAAAUACAAAUGCCAUUAAUUGUUUGUGCAUUGGAAAUGGACCUACUGUUUCCAGGGGAUUAAGACUCUUCUACCUUCUGUUUUAUUCUGGUGCUCAGCACUCAGUACACAGCAGUCACUGGUGUCUGAAAAAAAUUAGUACCCUUUCAGAUUUUUAUUUGUUGUAGUUAAUAGAAGAUUUAUUCACAGUGUUUGGGAUUUUGUAUGAUAGAUGCUAACUCUCAUGCUAACUUUUAGGGGAUUCCCAACCUUUGGGAUUUUUGGCUAGCUCUGUUCUGCACAGUCCAUAAGCAUCAUGCAAAUAGUGAAACUGCCAAGCAAGGGGAAAAGAAUCAAGAAAAUAUGAAAUGUUCUUUACAAAUACUGUAUUAUUCUUGCUCUAGAAAAAAAUAAACUCUUGACAUUAAUUUUAAUGAUACUAUCUUCACCAUUUCAGCUGUUCUUUUUGUGAACAGAGAAAACUCUGCAAUGUUCCUCAUGCUUAGAAUUUGAUCUGCUUUGUAAAGGCUUGUGAUCCUGCUGAGAUUGUCUUCUGCGUCAUUAUAAUGUGUUCUCAGCUGGCCUGAAUCACAUGUAGCCUUAAGUAGUGCCACACUGCUCCUGCCAGUAUUCCUCCUUCCCUUCUACUACGUUGCAUCCAGACUGGGCUGCUCUGCACAAGGCUGGGUGUGAAAUGCAGAGCAGAAAUACCUGUAGCACUCAAGGCUUACAGGCAAAUUGUGACACAGAAUGUGUUACAAGAGUCUGCAAGCUGGCAUGGGAAGAAGUGAGGAGUGGAUGGCAGUGCCCACAAGCCCAAGUGCUGCUGGUGGGCAGAGCUCGGUGUCUGCCCAGCAGAGCUCAGUGAGGAAUGCACCCCUGGGCCUCGUGUUACUACCCCCCUUGUUGUCACAGAUGGGUCUGAAACCUGCAGGAGAGGACAUCACCCAGCCACUGCUUCGUUGUCUGGUCUUGUCUGCGCCAGCAUAACCCACAUACUUCUGGGUCAUCUCGAGAUCUAUUAGGCAGACAAAGUUAUUCAAGACAUAGAACAAAAAAAUGGUAAAAUAUCUGAGUAUAGUGAAGGCAGUGGAAAGGCAGUGGAAAAGCCUGGCAAAUGCAAUAAAAGUUUUUGUGUUUUUUUUCUAGAGAAGGCAAGCGUAAUCCUCAUCUUUAAACCAUCCUUUAAUAUCCUACUUUGUUUUACACUGGAAUUAGAAAAUCUUUUCCAUUUGUUUUAAUUAUCUGCUGACUUCAAUUCUGCCUUUGAAAAACGUUUUUGCUAUGACAACCCCCACUAUCAUGGUGAGCAGCGUUAGGGAAAAACAGUUAAAGUAAAGCUUUUAUCUUUCCCCGCAUGCACUGCUUAAUCUUUUUAAUCUUUUAAUAUGAAUGUGGUUUCUCCCAUUCUGAAAAUUGACAAGAUUAGGGCUGUCUCUCCCAAAAUAGCAGUUCAAAAGCAUGUUUUGCUUAAGCAUAGCUAGUGCAAUACAUAAACAACUUGCAAAGCAUGAGAAUUCCUGUAAGUGACCAACUGAUUAUCAGAGUUAAACCUGUGUCUGAGGCUAACUUUCACAUGCCAACUUUUCUAACUCUGCCUAAACUCAACUUUUUUUAAGAACAGUUUGUAAAAAAAAAGUACAUUCAUUUGUUUUAUAUGAAAAGGGUGUUAAAAGAUUCACUGUUUUGCCAAACACUAAUAUUUCUAUGCACUGUGUCAUUCGGUGGUGUUGCUGUUGAAAUUUUGCAUGUUUUCUGGACGUUCUGACAUCUGUACAUUGAUGUGGUACUUGUAGAAAUGGUAACCAUUGCUGCUGUGAUCAGAGCCACUGAAAAACUGAGAGCUGUACUAAGAAGUUGUGCCAGUCAGCAGGUAUUUCUGUGUGUGUCACAGUUAAAUCUCUGCGUUCUGACAUUGUUUCCUGUGUUAAGCCAUUGUUCAGUGCCUUCUGGAGAAGGAACCAACAUGUUGCAGUAGGCAGGAGGUGCUGAACAUCUCGUGUCUUCUGAACAGUUGAUCACUUAUCAGCUUGAUUCUUA